UGUUGUUCUUGCUCCUUGGGAAAUGGUGAAUUACACUGUCCAUCAAUAGAGCCAGUAACAAACACAAGUGUCAGUGGUCCCAUGCCUUCUUCCUAUGAGAAAGCCGACCACUGUGUGAGUUACUGUGCCUCCCGGAGCUGCCUCCUCGCCCAGGAAGAAGAGCAGGACUGCACAGUGGAUACCCCAGCUGACCGAUGCCCGGCUGUGUUGGCUUCUCAUCACUGGCCAAGCUGCUCAUCUCUAGUUGGCUGUAGUUCAACCAUGAGGCUAGAUGACUCCAUGUUGAAUUACAGUUUUUUCUGCACCAUGUUUAACUUUGGCCAGGGAUUGAUUUCCUUUGGAAUCUUUGGGUUGGACAAGCCUUUAACCAUC
rnacentral:lncRNA from 1 species